AUAAACGCUGGCGGCGUGCCUAAUACAUGCAAGUCGAGCGAACAGACGAGGAGCUUGCUCCUCUGACGUUAGCGGCGGACGGGUGAGUAACACGUGGAUAACCUACCUAUAAGACUGGGAUAACUUCGGGAAACCGGAGCUAAUACCGGAUAAUAUAUUGAACCGCAUGGUUCAAUAGUGAAAGACGGUUUUGCUGUCACUUAUAGAUGGAUCCGCGCCGCAUUGGCUAGUUGGUAAGGUAACGGCUUACCAAGGCAACGAUGCGUAGCCGACCUGAGAGGGUGAUCGGCCACACUGGAACUGAGACACGGUCCAGACUCCUACGGGAGGCAGCAGUAGGGAAUCUUCCGCAAUGGGCGAAAGCCUGACGGAGCAACGCCGCGUGAGUGAUGAAGGUCUUCGGAUCGUAAAACUCUGUUAUUAGGGAAGAACAAAUGUGUAAGUAACUAUGCACGUCUUGACGGUACCUAAUCAGAAAGCCACGGCUAACUACGUG
rnacentral:rRNA from 1 species